ensembl:lncRNA
CAAGAAAUAACUAAGUAGUCUUUCUACUUAAAAAUGUCAUGUUCAAUUUCUUGCUGAUUCUUUGAAAACUGUGAAAAUUGUUUCUAAACCAUUUUUCCCCGUAUACUGUCUGUGUAAACUAAUGUUUUGAUGGUAACACUUACACAAUAAGGUUUCAUUAGUUAACAUAAACUAUCCAUGAAAAAAAAAAAUAAUCAAUGUUUUUUUUUUAUUUAAUUUACAACAACUUAUAGCUUUUUAAUAUGCUUUUUAAAAUGAUACUAUUCUCUCUUUAAGGAGGUUACUGCAGGAAGUCAAAAGUGUAUCUGGUUGUUCAAUCUUCAGUCCCUGUAGAGGUCACUGUUGCUUGGCACAGCUGAAAAACAACUGACGCUCAAAAGGAAGGUAAUUAGAUCCAACAUUAUCUGAUAUUCACACACACACACUUAAUAUUGUUUUAUGUUUAUAAGAUCAGUUUAUUUGUGCAAGAGCUCUAUGAUGGUAUGAUGGUAAUUGAAUUCCUUGAUAUUUGUGUUUCAGGAAAUGAUUACAGGCUGUAAUUAAGGGUGCGGCUUUGUUACGGAGCUCUAAAAUGAGAGAUAUUAAUUUGCUCUCUACUCCACAUUUGUUUGUGCCAUUUAAUUCUGAAAUCCACACACACUCAGUGCAGAAAACAUGUCUGAAUCAACUUUAAAUCAUAUUUAUCACUAGGAACACACGUCCAGAUGGCAGACUCUUAACUGAGCUUGGAUUAAUGGGAGGACGGGCAAGAACUGCAUCAAACUCCUCUUAAGGACCUUUGAAGAACAACAUUGCUAAUCGCUCAUAAGGACGCUGUAGAACAUGUUUGUUGGCCUCAGUGUUGGAAUGAUGGGACAGCAGAUGAAGAAGAAACCUAAGCAUGCUGAUACUGAAGUGUCUAAAGGUUUGCAGUCCAUCUCUCUUACUGACUUAUACAGUGGGUAAUGUUGGGGGCCAGCUUUUGGAGAGCUGAGGGUAAAACGGUGUGUGGCUAC